rnacentral:rRNA from 1 species
UCUUGUGCAAUAAACGAAAGUAUGACACAGAGAGGACACAUUUAAUUGAGCCCGUCAAAUUAAGUGCCAGCCGACGCGGUUAAACUUAAGGGCUGGUCUUUAUAAGUAAAAAGGCGUAAAGGAUGUGUAGGCUAAGAAACGAUCCAAGUAGGUAAAUGGAAUUUUUCUGGAGCGGUAGAAUGUGAGGAUAGAAAAUAGAACCCCUAAGGUAAAAACUAUUUACUACAAGGUAGGCUGAAACAUGAGAGUGUGGGGAGCAAACAGGAUUAGAGACCCUGGUAGUCCACACUGUGAACUUUGAAGAUGAUGCUUAGCAGACCCGAAAGGUAAAAUCUUCCGCCUGAGUAGUACGAUCGCAAGAUUAAAAUUCAAAAACUUUGGCUGUUCACUAUUUCGAUUAGAGGAGCGUGUAGUUUAAUUCGAUGGUCCGCGUGUUACCUUACCCCAACUUGAAUCUGUGACCGGUAUUGCAUGGCCGUCGUAAGUUCGUGUAUUAAGCUAGAAGGGACCCAACCCGGGCAUUUGCCCGGAGGAAGUCAGGUCUUAUGAUCCGAAUGUUGGGGGAUUUUAUGCGCUACAUUUUCUUAUAUAAUGAGAAACCUGAAAGGUGAGUCUCUAAAGUAAGAGUUCGGAAGGUCGCUGUAAGACGACUGGAAGUUGGAUUUAAUAGUAAUCGGAAAGUAGGGCGUUCCGGUGAAUUGGUACAAGUGUUAGCACAAAUUGCCCGUCACCUUUACUUAGAAGGUUAUUCGG